GCUAGCGGCAGGCCUAAUACAUGCAAGUCGAACGGUAACAUUGGUGCUUGCACCAGAUGACGAGUGGCGCACGGGUGCGUAACGCGUAUGCAACCUACCUUUUACUAGAGUAUAGCCCAGAGAAAUUUGGAUUAAUCCUCUAUAACAUCUUUUAAUUUCAUGAUUUUAAGAUUAAAGUUUUAACGGUAAAAGAUGGGCAUGCGUCCUAUUAGUUUGUAGGUGAGGUAACGGCUCACCUAGACUACGAUAGGUAGGGGCCCUGAGAGGGGGAUCCCCCACACUGGUACUGAGACACGGACCAGACUCCUACGGGAGGCAGCAGUAAGGAAUAUUGGACAAUGGACGAAAGUCUGAUCCAGCCAUGCCGCGUGCAGGAUGACAGCCCUACGGGUUGUAAACUGCUUUUAUACAGGAAGAAACACUCCGACGUGUCGGAGCUUGACGGUACUGUAAGAAUAAGGAUCGGCUAACUCCGUGCCAGCAGCCGCGGUAAUACGGAGGAUCCAAGCGUUAUCCGGAAUCAUUGGGUUUAAAGGGUCCGCAGGCUGUUUUUUAAGUCAGAGGUGAAAUCCUACAGCUCAACUGUAGAACUGCCUUUGAUACUGGAAAACUUGAGUUAUUGUGAAGUGGUUAGAAUGUGUGGUGUAGCGGUGAAAUGCAUAGAUAUCACACAGAAUACCGAUUGCGAAGGCAGAUCACUAACAAUAUACUGACGCUCAUGGACGAAAGCGUGGGGAGCGAACAGGAUUAGAUACCCUGGUAGUCCACGCCGUAAACGAUGGAUACUAGCUGUUCGUCUAACAUUGGUUAGAUGAGUGGCUAAGCGAAAGUGAUAAGUAUCCCACCU
rnacentral:rRNA from 1 species